AUUAAUGUUGCGAAUUUAUAUUUGUUUACUUCAUCUAUUUUUUAUAAAUAUGGAAUUAAUAAUAAAAAAAACUUAUUAAAAGCUAUACAUAUUAUUACAGAAGCUAUACAUAAAUUAAAAGCACGCAAACUUAAAGAAUUACUUAGCGGAUAUGGCCAAAUAUUUCCAAAGUUAAUUAAAAUCUGAAGUACCAAUGGUCCUAUUGGCUGCUUAGUCAAGCGAUUCGUGUGGAAAGUUAGGUAGCCGCCGUUUCAGUGCAGCCUGAUUUAACCUUGCACGCUGAUUAGUCUAGUCGGUUAUGCCUGAUCCGCUGGGUAAAUACUCUCUUGAUGGGUGAUCAUGUUAACCCGCUUAGACGCAGGACGCCCCAGAACUGCUUAAAAUCAAUUAUAAUGACUUGUAGGCCAUGCUGGCGAAGGGCUAACGAGGACGUCUUCCACUUUGACAAUGUACCGGAAAUUCUCCAUACCUAACUUCUGUAAAUAUGACUUCAGUAUUCUCUGGUGACCCGUUAUGUUAAUGAGCUUUAUCAACAGCAGAAUUUUCUGGUGACCCGUCAUGUUAAUAAGCUUUAUCAACAGCAGUCAUUGGGGGUUUUUGGACGGAGUUUUAAAGUUGCGGAAUACGGAGUCGUUCACGUUUAAUUCUUCGUCGAAUGUUAAGAGAAAUGUUUCCACUAUAAGUAGUUCAUUGACCAAAGCUUUGCCAUUAUUGAUUAUUAUGCCGUCGUCUAUAACUUGUAUCGGCUCAAGAUGACAUCCGAGUGGUGAAGUGUCUUCAAAAUAUUGUGAGUUGGGUCAUUUUCGGCAGAUAUUUGUAAGUGCUGCGCUGCAGUUUUCUAAUAAUACCACCAUAUUAUCUCAUUCGAUUGUUUUCGUAUUCCGCAAAAAUGUAAUAAAGAGAGAGAGUAUUUUAUUAUAAAGUGUUAAAAAUUAUCAUUUGGUAACACUUUAACUUGGGCUACUUCCAUUAGAUCUGUAAAUGUAGAAUGCUCAUUACUUAUACUUUGCAUCGUUAGAAUCUAAAACAAGAGAGAACGCUGAAGUCCCCGAUUAUUUUUAUUUGUCCUCAAUGGACUCCUAAACCACCCAACCGAUUACAAUAAAAUUCGCACACCAUGUGCAGUUCGAUCCAACUUGAGAGAUAGGAUAGUUUAAAUUCUGGAAAAAGUCAAAAGAAAAGCGGGAAAACCGUUUUUUACACGCAGCGCCAUUUCUAAAACAUAGGAUGUCAUUCUUCUCUGCUCAUUUUGUUUUAUUUAAUUCAUGAGACAAACUUUAUUUGGUUCAUAAAUAAAUUGUAACAGCAGGCAUUUGUUUUUGAGGUGAAGAUACACGAGCCGAACGCAAUAAAGUAAGAACACUAAAGCAUCAACAAUCACGCAGGUUUUCAGAAGAAGGGGAGGAAGAAGACGAAGAAGGAAGAAGAAAGAGUAAGAAGAAGGAGGAGGAUUAAGAAGAUGGAGGAGGAAGGAGGAGAAGGAUUAAGAAGAUGGAGGAGGAAGAAGGAGGAUGAAGAAGGAAUAAGGAGCAUGAAGAAGUCAGAAGAAGAAGGAGAAGGAAGAAGAAGAAUGACCCAUAAAAAAGCAUUAAACAGAACAAUGCAAGAUCUACGUCGCAAUCAACAAAUUUUGGGUGGUGCAAUAAUACCUCAGGGAAAUAAGUAUAUGUGGAUGCAUUUUUUUCCAAAAAAGUAUACUUUCAACAAAGUGAAUCCGGUCAAGUUUUUUUUUAAUUUAUAGGCCUUUUGAACCGCUAACAGAAUAUAUAAUAAUACGACAUAGUUUAAUGGAAACUUAUAAAUAUAUUUUAUUGAAUUUAACAAGUCUUUAGGAAAUAAGUAUAUGUGUAUUUUUCAUUUGGUUCUCUUAAUCUUAUUAAUUGUUUCUGUA